rnacentral:rRNA from 1 species
UAGGGAAUCUUCGGCAAUGGGGGGAACCCUGACCGAGCAACGCCGCGUGAGUGAAGAAGGUUUUCGGAUCGUAAAGCUCUGUUGUUAAGGAAGAACGAGUGUGAGAAUGGAAAGUUCAUACUGUGACGGUACUUAACCAGAAAGGGACGGCUAACUACGUGCCAGCAGCCGCGGUAAUACGUAGUUCCCGAGCGUUGUCCGGAUUUAUUGGGCGUAAAGCGAGCGCAGGCGGUUAGAAAAGUCUGAAGUGAAAGGCAGUGGCUCAACCAUUGUAGGCUUUGGAAACUGUUUAACUUGAGUGCAGAAGGGGAGAGUGGAAUUCCAUGUGUAGCGGUGAAAUGCGUAGAUAUAUGGAGGAACACCGGUGGCGAAAGCGGCUCUCUGGUCUGUAACUGACGCUGAGGCUCGAAAGCGUGGGGAGCGAACAGG